UAGGGUGAAACCCACUUCGUAAAGAAAGAGG
rnacentral:piRNA from 1 species